UGCAAUAUAAAAUAUGAAUUACUCGACAUUGUUAAUGGUAGAACCACGACGUUGUUAAACUUGUAAUAAAUUCGUCAGGAAUUUCUUAAUAAUAAAUAUAUAAAAAAACAAGGAGGUAAUUAUAUAUGUAUCUCUCACUUCCACCACAAAUGGAGGGAUUUGCUCUGCAUCUGCAUGCCUAAUUUAGUCUACCGAAUCAAAAGUGAAUGAAGCUCACAAUCCCAUCGAUUUCAAGCGCUGGCUCAUAUGGCAAACUAAUCGUUACCAUGUACGUAAUAAGUAGGCAUUUGCCAGCUGCUAUCGAGGGUUACGGUUUACGUGUCUCCGCCGGCGAGGGCCCGGAUUCGUUAGUGACGAGGAUCGGGCUGCGCACGACGUACUUGCCGGACAACCACUUGAGCUCCCCCUCGACAGGGCCGGUAAGCGCCUGGCCGUUGGCCGACUUGAUUGUGACAGAGUAGUUCAGGACCUCUUCCAGCGCCUUGAAAGUCAGCUUCGGCGGGUUCACCUCCACUGUCACCGACGCCGGCACGUUCACCUCCACGGUGUACGUCGAGCUGGCCGCGCCGACGUUCGUGACGGAGCGGUUGGCCUUCGCGGUGAAGGGCGGCUGGUUGAGGAUGACGGUGAUGGACGGGUAGUUGAGGUCGUCCUGUUCGAGCCUUGACAGCUUGGCGCACGACACCGGCGGCUCCGGGUAGAUGAUCGUGCUCACCUUGUCGUCCGUGUAGUUGAGCCCGCACAGGUACGGCACGUAGCCCAUGGCCGUCAUGUUGUACACGAGGCCAGGGUCCAUGGCCUUCUUCGGGUUCACGUGGCCGGCGCCAAUGGCGACCAAGUUCGCCGGCCUGCCGUUGACGUCCUGGAUCGGCUUCCGGAGGUUGUCGUUAGGCUCCGCCGUCGUCAUCAGGGCCGAUUUGAUGACCGCGGGCGACCAGGUCGGGUGCGCGUGCUUGAUCAGCGCGGCGAUCCCGCUCAGGUGCGGCGCGGCCAUGGACGUGCCGGACUUGAUGUCGAACCUGGGCACCUCCGCGUUGCGCAGCAGGUCCACGUCCUCGAUCGAGGGCACGCCGGCGAUGAUGUUCACCCCGGGGCCGAUGAUGUCGGGUUUCAGAAUCCCACGGCUCCUCCUGUUCGGGCCCCGCGAGGAGAAGGGCGCCACCAUCGGCGACCUUGGGGUGUUGAACGCUGCCCCUUUGAAGACGAACGUCGCCGUCGGGCCCCGCGCCUUGUGGAUGUAGGCCUUGAUCUUCUGCCCCGCCGCGUUAGAGACUUGCACCGUCGGGAUGGCGUGCGGCCUCGGGAUGAUUACCGGACCGAACAACUCCGGGGUCACCACGAUCAUUCCGACCACGCCGAUGCCCUUUAGCAUCUUGGCCUUCGCGGUGCUGACAUCGCCGCCGGCUUCGCAGAUGAUGAUCUUUCCGGAGACGUUUUGUGCCUUCAGCACGUUCCCGUUG
rnacentral:lncRNA from 1 species